ensembl:lncRNA
UACAUCACCAGGAGCUGAGAAACUAAAACUAUGACACAGCUACAACUCACACUCCUGGAAGUACUUAUGUUUGUCACAUAUAAUGAAGUUGGGCUAAAAUAAACUAUUUAUAACCUUUAUGCCUCUUUAGUUUAUUAUUAUAAAAGCUAUGUAUGACAAAUUUAAUGACAGCAACAUCAACAGAACUUUCAUUAUGUCUUUUAUAUUCAGAUGUCAUCAAUGGGCCAUAGUCAGACAGAGUGUCCAGAUUAUAGAAUCAAUAGAUUCCAUAAUCUAGAAUGGGCAUGCACAAGCAGUCUAAAUAUACAACUAUAUUUCCUACACAUAUAAGCCAGUGUAGUUGAUAACAGAUAUUGCUUUAAGCCUAUAAGAGUACUUAGGCUGUAUAAUGCAGCACAUUAAAUAUUGAUUUGAAUUGAUAUGUUAUGUUUUGUUUGUGUUUGUGAUGCUAAGGUUAUUCAUUUAACUGAAAAAUAUGAAAUUACUCUGUGAAGCACUUUGUUAAACAUCAAUCUGUGCUGAAAGAUAGAAAAGCAGAGCUUCAGUAUCACAGUCAAGGUUUGACUGCAGCUAAAUUAAAAAGUAAAACAAGAUGUGGGGAAAAAAAACAUUUUAGUUGACAGAAAAAAAAUAAAGAAUAAACUUAAAAAGUAAGAAAGAAAAGAAAACCAACCGAACUUUGUGAACUUACAAAACAAAACAAACAAACAAAAAGCAAAGUUACAAAUGAAAUCUUCUUAGUUUUAAUUAUCUUUAUUGGUUUGGUAAAAAUUUGUCGGUGUAACCAGCCUUUACCGAGGCCGGCAUGUUUACAUAACUGUGAGCCAGCUGCCUUUGUAAAGAGCUGUGUUUGUAUUGAAGCAUCCAUUCUGCUUUGCCUAAAUAUUUCCACUGAUAAAGUCUCUCCAUAUAAUCAUAAUUAGAAAGAAUAAACUGUAAGCUAACAAAAAUAAAAAUAAAACAAGCAAACUCACUCUGAAAACUAAGUGAAACUCAACUGCACUGAAAACAAAAACUCACAAAACAAAUAAAAUCAAAACUUAUUAAAAAAUGAAAAUAAAACUACAAAACACAGAACUAAAACCAAAAUAAAUAAACCAAAAUAAACACGCUCAUCAUGUUAAGUGACUUUAUGAAGUGUUUGAAGUGAAAAUUCAGUGAAACAAUAAGCGCACUCCUCAAACACCACGGUGAAAAUAACAUUUAAAAGUAACCAAAUAAAGCAUUAUCUGGUUUUUAAAAAUAUAAAAAUUCCCUACUGUUUAAAAACGUGUAAUUUACACACCUCAUCUACCUUACAAAGCUUUUGUACUACUUUGCCUUUGAUGUUUAAAUAUUUUUCUAAUGUUAUUUUCUUAAAAUCUUCACAUUUUUUAAAUGUAUUAUUUAAAAAUAAUUAAAGUAAGAAAAGUAUGAAAAAAAUUACAAAGUUUGUUCACUGAUUCUUUUUACUAUAAUUCUUUCACUGUUCAGUGAUUAUUCGUUUGAACUAGUGCAUUUUAAUUACUAAUUAUUGAUUACUAUUACAGGC